rnacentral:rRNA from 1 species
UACGUAGGGUGCAAGCGUUAAUCGGAAUUACUGGGCGUAAAGCGUGCGCAGGCGGCUUUGCAAGACAGAUGUGAAAUCCCCCGGGCUUAACCUGGGAACUGCAUUUGUGACUGCAUGGCUGGAGUGCGGCAGAGGGGGAUGGAAUUCCGCGUGUAGCAGUGAAAUGCGUAGAUAUGCGGAGGAACACCGAUGGCGAAGGCAAUCCCCUGGGCCUGGCACUGACGCUCAUGCACGAAAGCGU